rnacentral:tRNA from 2 species
GGUCUUAUAUUCAAAUAAUGAUUUUAGACUGCAAUUCUAAAGGUGUAAGUUUUACUAAGACCU